rnacentral:rRNA from 1 species
GACGAACCGUGCGAACGUUGUUCGGAAUCACUGGGCUUAAAGGGUGCGUAGGCUGGCAGUCAAGUCAGAGGUGAAAGCCCACGACUCAACCGUGGAAGUGCCCCUGAUACUGGCUGUCUCGAGGGAGGUAGGGGCGUGCGGAACUUCCGGUGGAGCGGUGAAAUGCGUAGAUAUCGGAAGGAACACCGGUGGCGAAAGCGACUUCCUGGUCGAAUACUGACGUUCAUGUGCGAAAGCGUGGGGAGCAAACAGG